CCGCCGCCGCCACAGUCGCCAAGUGGCCGCUCCCGUCCUUGGCCACCGCCGACAGCUGUCCGCCCUGCUGGUCCAGCCGCCGAAACAUCCGGCGAGGACGGGAAUAAGCCGCCCCCGCGUGACACGUACGUGGAACGGCAGCUCUCCAUGGAGUGACAGGCCAGGCCCGGGUUCAGUAGGCAGCAGAAACAGUCCUUGGAUCCCUUUCAGCUCGGUUCUCCUACGCUGCGGAUGCAGAAAAAGCAAUACAGGUGUUCAUUUUUCUUUUGAAGAGAAGCCACGCACAAGAACAUUCCUAUACAGGUGUUCACGGUUCGCUAGCAGAGAACGUCUACAACAAUAGACAGAAACACGAUCACUUCUGAAGAAGAAGGAAAAGGAAAUUGGGUGGUUUUGACCCGUGCGCAGAGGCUGUCAGGGAAAGUGGACAAGGCGCCAAGCCUGUCGGGCGAGCGAGUAAAGCCUGGUUGAAUAGGCGCAGGUCCUUAAAUCCCAUUCCUCCGUGGUUUUUGGGUAACAGCAACGCAAGCCAGUGCAUGCGUUUUUUGUUCUCCAUCCUCAUCGCCCCACCUACGGGUGAUCUGCUCCAAAUCUUCGCACACCCCUACCGGGAAUUUGAAGAUGUUCAUGGCGUAUGUUGGUAGAGCUUGGACAGCCGAUUUGAUCACAACUUCUUUGCCGCCAGCCGACAGGCAGCCCGAGGUACUUCUCGUCCAAGUUGGUUCUUUGGGAUUGUCAUCACCCGAUUGCAGGUUCUCGGUCUGAUUUGGAGUAGUCGCUGCCAACAGUGAAAUUACCGGACUUUUCGGGGUGCCAAGCAAUGAUAUCUUCCGUAUCCGAGCGGUAGAUGGGGGUAUUCAGAAUCUCUUCAGCGUCUGGGGGAAUAAUGCAGAUCUCGCGGAUGAUGUUCUCCUUCCAAGACUUGUUGUCGUUGUCGAUUAGGUCAGACAUCCGCCUGAGGCGAGAGCGAGUGAGGCAGGCAGAGACUUUGAGGUUGCCCCGGGCCAAAUUCGCAUGUUCUGGCCAUUACCGAUUCUCCAAAUAGCACCUUGUUUCAGUAGCUCGACUCCAUGCUCAAUCCCUCUCCAAACUGGAGAAGCUUUUUGUGCAAAGGCCGUAUCGAUUGCUGCCUUUGCUAGGAUAGGUGUGUGUUCUGGUGUGCUCCCCGGGGCUGCGCCAAUUGCUAUAAGGCUGCCCCCGGUGGAAUCCUGUAAUGACUCGUGUUGCAAUUAAUCCACACCUUUCCCUUAAAAAAAGGAAAUUGGGUGGUAUUUGUUUA